UUCCGGGCGGCCUUGCCUAUUACAUUGCAACCCUUGCGAGGGACUAUAGCUUGCUCUUCUCGCAAUUAGCGGCGGACGGGUGAGUAACACGUGGGUAACCUGCCCAUAAGACUGGGAUAACUCCGGGAAACCGGGGCUAAUACCGGAUAACAUUUUGAACCGCAUGGUUCGAAAUUGAAAGGCGUCUUCGGCUGUCACUUAUGGAUGGACCCGCGUCGCAUUAGCUAUUUGGUGAGGUAACGGCUCACCAAGGCAACGAUGCGUAUCCGACCUGACAUGGUGAUCGGCCACACUGGGACUGACACACGGCCCAGACUCCUACGGGAGGCCCAGUAUGGAAUCUUCCGCAAUGGACGAAAGUCUGACGGAGCAACGCCGCGUGAGUGAUGAAGCUUUCCGGUCUUAAAACUCUGUUGUUAGGAAAACAGUGCUAGUUGAUAGCUGGCACCUUGAGGGCCCUAACCCCAAAGGCCGGGUAAUACAUGCCACCACCGCGGUAUACGUAGUGGCAAGCCUUAUCCGGAUUAUUGGGCGUAUGCGCUCGCACGGGGUUUUCUAAGUCUGAUGGAACCCCCCCGCCUCACCGGGGGGGCUUUGGAACCGGGCAC
rnacentral:rRNA from 1 species